CGUGCACAUAUGUUUAUAUAUUUUAUAUAUAUUCAUAUAUAUACAUAUGCUGAAAGUUCACUUUUUUGUCCUUUUCAUUCUCUUAUAGGAACCCACGAGAUUCAUGAAUCAGGCAUGUAACAACCCUACAGUGACUGAAGUCUUGAAGUUCAAAGGGCUUUAGUUUUGUCUGUUUUCUAAUAUUUUGUCUAAAUAUCAGGAUGUGACAUAGUUAUUAAAAUGCUUCUAAUUUACUGAAUUAAAAGUCUCUAUCCUUCUUGUUUUUUCAAUUUUUAAUAAUGCAUUAUUCAGUUUGCUUGUUAAGAGGACAUACCUGCUACUCAGUUAUUGCUCUUCUGAUGCACAGAAACUUUUAUGUACACACACUUUACAACUUUUGUAACCUGAAAACAAGAUUUCCACCAUGCAAUAAGACCAUACUCUGUACUGAAAACUAGGUAGGAAUUCUCAGCAAGAUUGUGUUAAUGCUUAAUGAGGGCUCCUCAGAAUUGGUAGUUUGGUCAUACGUGCUCUAAGAGUACCAUAGCAAUGAAUUAAUGCCUUUAUCAAAUGUCUGUUUUAGUAGUUUCUUCCACUCUUCCUUAAGGUCAUGGUUAGGUUGAUAAUGCUUUUCUGGAUUAGUAUGCUGACUUGCUGGCAUACAUUGGCAAGGCUGACCUUUUGCUAGCACGGCAUAUGUCACAUCUAUGUGCAUGUCAAACACUCGUGCUAUGUUUUGGCUAUAUAAAAGAAGUUUAUCAUAUCUGGCCAAAGAAGUCGGAAUACUUUUUCAAAUUACUUGUACUACUAAAGACCUAUCAGCUAUAUCUGCUGCUACUAACAAUCUUGUAUCUCUUAUUACCAGAUAUUCCUGUCAUUUUUGCCAGUGCAGACCUGUUGGAUCAUUGUCUCACUUACUACAGACUAGAAAGGAUAUGGCUAAGAUAACUUCACAUAGGUGGCUUAAUUCUGAAUGUCUACAAAAGCUGAAAGGUCUUACUGUGAUCCUCUUUGUUGUGGCCCACUGAGUGUGCAGAAUCAGACCUCAACAGCUCCAUUCCAGGAGCAUGCUGUUGGAAGGGACCUCAAGGAUCAUGAAUCUCCAACACCUCUGCCACAAGCAGGGCCACCAACCUCCCAGUUGAA